AUACGAAGGGGGCUAGCGUUGCUCGGAAUGACUGGGCGUAAAGGGCGUGUAGGCGGUUUUGACAAUCAGAUGUGAAAUCCCCGGGCUUAACCUGGGAGCUGCAUUUGAGUCGUUAAAGACUAGAGUGUGAGAGAGGGUUGUGGAAUUCCCAGUGUAGAGGUGAAAUUCGUAGAUAUUGGGAAGAACACCGGUGGCGAAGGCGGCAACCUGGCUCAUUACUGACGCUGAGGCGCGAAAGCGUGGGGAGC
rnacentral:rRNA from 1 species